CAGCCGCCACGGGAAUACAGAGGGUGCAAGCGUUAAUCGGAAUUACUGGGCGUAAAGCGCGCGUAGGUGGUUUGUUAAGUUGGAUGUGAAAUCCCCGGGCUCAACCUGGGAACUGCAUCCAAAACUGGCAGGCUAGAGUAGGGCAGAGGGUGGUGGAAUUUCCUGUGUAGCGGUGAAAUGCGUAGAUAUAGGAAGGAACACCAGUGGCGAAGGCAGCCCCCUGGGCCAAUACUGACGCUCAUGCACGAAAGCGUGGGGAGCAAACAGGAUUAGAUACCCCUGUAGUCCCUGUCUCUUAUAC
rnacentral:rRNA from 1 species